ACAAGUCGGGAGUCGGCGACCGCUUAGUGACGAGCGAUGAUUUUAAAGAGCAGAAUAAAAGGUUUUCCCGUGCCUGCCCCACAGCCCCUCCAGCUCGAAUAAUGGAGAACUGUCAAUGCACUCCGCGAGCGGUGGCCCAUUGUACGCAGCUGAUGGCGAGGAGGCGACUGGGGGUAGCAGGGGCUCCUUGCCCUCGUCCCUAUGCCCAAAUAAACGCGCAAACGCGCUCCCGUCUUCUGGUCAGUUAAAAGGUGAAACGAACACGAUUAAAAUAGACCAAAAGAAAAGAAAGAAAAGAAAACCUUUCUAUGUACAGAUUCUAAAUCGUACUCCCCAUACAGUCAGAGGCAGGGAGUCGAGGGCAGAGGCAGCAGGCGGAGAGAGGGAGAUAGGGCGAGGGAAGGAGAACGCGGAGAGAGACGAAGGGAGUGGGAGACCAGCGACAGCGAGCGCCAGGGCACCGCAGGCACACUGGAUGCCCAGUCCGCCGGCCCAGCCGCCCUCGGACCCUGGACCGUGCGUCGUGGGCACCAGAAACGAGACUCGGCCAAAUCCUGCCUCACCAGCAGGUAGAUGAAACUCAAGAGAAAAGGUGUGGAUAAAUGAAACUAGCCCAUGAUGAACCUGUUUUCUCCGUGACCACAAUAUUAACCAGGAUGAAUGGCGGUGGCAGUGGGCCUGCAUCACAGGUUGCAGCAGAUGUUCUCAAUAUUUCUAUUAAAAUUUCCUUAUUUCCAUAUGCAAGAGGAGCCCCAGAGCUGCAUCCUUAUGGUAGCUACCAUGCCGUGAUGUAAGCUGCCAUUCACUGGGGAGCUUUGGCAAUAGAAUUGGCUAGAUCAGGAAGCCUAUGUCAACUAUGGAACAACAACUUGCAGCUCAUCUCUAUUGAUGCAUCAGGUAUUAUCUACUGCUGUCUGCAGAAUUCAGACAUGGAGGGCUCAAUGGUGUCCCCUGGUCUUUGGAACAUUCUGUAUUUUAAUGAUCAUGAUACACUGCCUCUAGGACUGGGACAGAUAGCCACUGAGUACCUGCUUCAAAUCACCCUGCACGUUUUCUCUUUGGAAAGAUAAGCACUGGAGAACCAUCUCGUUACCUUCAGCAGAAAUGGAAACAAAUCAAGACAUUAAGAAUGCCGCAGUGGACAGCAGUUAUGCAAGGUUCAGCAGAGGAAGUUUUCAAGAUGGUGUGCCUCACUAGCCAGAAAUCAGAAAAGAUCGAAGCUAGCCUUUUCAUCUCAGCUGCUCCUUAAAUCAGUGCAACCCCUCCAAAUUAAUGUGAAUUGAAACUUGCAUUGCUUUUCAACUUAAUUGAAUACUUACUAUAUGUGAACCACUGCACAAAAUAGGGGAAGAAGAUGUGGGAGACAAAGAUGUGGAGCCUGUCUUCAAUAAAUUUACAGUUAGUUUCAGGGUACAUUGUUUUUCUUCUGCUGUUAAUUAGGUGUAUCCCCAAGACAAUAAAUACAUGAAUGGAAAAGUAUAUUCUGUGUUUUAAGUCUCUUUAAUAAAAAACAAAACAAAAUCCAAAAAAACUCCUAACAUGGCAACUCAGGACAUUUUAAUCCUUUUUUUUGUUGUUGGGCUUCUGAUAGGAUCCAUUUUAUUGAUUCCAUAAAUAUUUAGUAGACUUUAGACAUAUUAAUACAUUGUAGUUUGAGUUAAUUUGCAUUAAAUUCUGUUUUUUUCCCCUUAGGUAUAGAUUGUCUGUUGGAAAAAUAUAUUGCUUGUGGAUUUCUUGGGGAGUGGGAAGGUGAAUUAUACCUGUUGUCUCUACAGUCCACUACCUUCCACACCCUAGGGCAGUGGUCCCCAACCUUCUUGGCACCAGGGAUCAGUUUCCUGGAAGACAAUUUUUCUGUGGAUGGUGUGGGGAUGGUUUUGGGAUGGAACUGUUCCACCUCAGAUCAUCAGGCAUUAGUUAGGCUCUCAUAACGAGUGCGCAGCCUAGAUCCCUCACAUGCACAGUUCACAGUAGGGUUUGCGCUGCUAUGAGAAUCUAAGGCUGCCACUGAUCUGACAGGAGGCAGAACUCAGGUGGCAAUGCUUACUGGCCCACUGCUCACCUCUUGCUGUGCGGCCUGGUUCCUAAUAGGCCAUGGACCCCCACAGACGGGUACUAGUCUGCAGCCUGUGGACCCCAGCCCUAGGGGCCUGCCAUUCUGAGUGAGUUAUUAGCAUGAAGAAGAGGAAGAUCUGGAUCAAACGUGGGUGAUGGUACUCAGAGACCCAAGAUAGGAUAGGGAUGGAACAAAAUCCAUCUGGGCAACGGCUCUAUGAAAAUUUGGCUAAGUAAUUAUUUCAGUAUUCAUUGUAUUCAUUGUCCUUCGUGUUCCAUAAGUUAAAUGACUGUCUAAUUUUUCCAAAAAUUUAUUUCUGACUUGAGAAUAAGUGUGUCAUGAUUUUCCCAGUGUAAAGACACUGAUAUAACUGUAGAUACCAGACAUUUUAUGUAGUGUCUAUGACACAUUUUAGUAUGUAUGAGCCAACAAUAGACAUGUCUUUGUCUUGAGGAGUGUCCAUCUGAAUUGAAAAUGUGUCAGCUUUUUUUUAACAUCAUCAACAGACUUCUUAAUUAAGCUGCCAAUACAUACUGCCAAUAGCACUGUGUGCUGUCUGAGAAAUGCAUUGUGUAAGUGCUAUUUCCAUCUUAUUAAAUAAAC
rnacentral:lncRNA from 1 species